rnacentral:lncRNA from 1 species
AGGGGCCUCCUGGUCCCCCGGGCCUCCCAGGGCAGCCUGGACUCAUAGGCCAGAAGGGUGACUGUGGUGAUCUUGGUCUUCCAGGAGCAGCUGGGGAAAAGGGUGCCCAGGGUACACCAGGACUGCCAGGUCAGCCAGGGGAGGGUGGGCUUGCAGGGCUUCCAGGUCCCAUGGGACCUGUUGGGCCCCCAGGACCCCCUGGGCCACCAGGACCGCCAUAUCGUGUUGGCUAUGUGAGUACAGGUUAAACACAG